rnacentral:rRNA from 1 species
CAAGUCGAACGAUGAAGCCCAGCUUGCUGGGUGGAUUAGUGGCGAACGGGUGAGUAACACGUGAGUAACCUGCCCUUAACUCUGGGAUAAGCCUGGGAAACUGGGUCUAAUACCGGAUAGGAGCGUCCACCGCAUGGUGGGUGUUGGAAAGAUUUAUCGGUUUUGGAUGGACUCGCGGCCUAUCAGCUUGUUGGUGAGGUAAUGGCUCACCAAGGCGACGACGGGUAGCCGGCCUGAGAGGGUGACCGGCCACACUGGGACUGAGACACGGCCCAGACUCCUACGGGAGGCAGCAGUGGGGAAUAUUGCACAAUGGGCGAAAGCCUGAUGCAGCGACGCCGCGUGAGGGAUGACGGCCUUCGGGUUGUAAACCUCUUUCAGUAGGGAAGAAGCGAAAGUGACGGUACCUGCAGAAGAAGCACCGGCUAACUACGUGCCAGCAGCCGCGGUAAUACGUAGGGUGCGAGCGUUAUCCGGAAUUAUUGGGCGUAAAGAGCUCGUAGGCGGUUUGUCGCGUCUGUCGUGAAAGUCCGGGGCUUAACCCCGGAUCUGCGGUGGGUACGGGCAGACUAGAGUGCAGUAGGGGAGACUGGAAUUCCUGGUGUAGCGGUGGAAUGCGCAGAUAUCAGGAGGAACACCGAUGGCGAAGGCAGGUCUCUGGGCUGUAACUGACGCUGAGGAGCGAAAGCAUGGGGAGCGAACAGGAUUAGAUACCCUGGUAGUCCAUGCCGUAAACGUUGGGCACUAGGUGUGGGGACCAUUCCACGGUUUCCGCGCCGCAGCUAACGCAUUAAGUGCCCCGCCUGGGGAGUACGGCCGCAAGGCUAAAACUCAAAGGAAUUGACGGGGGCCCGCACAAGCGGCGGAGCAUGCGGAUUAAUUCGAUGCAACGCGAAGAACCUUACCAAGGCUUGACAUGUUCUCGAUCGCCGUAGAGAUACGGUUUCCCCUUUGGGGCGGGUUCACAGGUGGUGCAUGGUUGUCGUCAGCUCGUGUCGUGAGAUGUUGGGUUAAGUCCCGCAACGAGCGCAACCCUCGUUCCAUGUUGCCAGCACGUCGUGGUGGGGACUCAUGGGAGACUGCCGGGGUCAACUCGGAGGAAGGUGAGGACGACGUCAAAUCAUCAUGCCCCUUAUGUCUUGGGCUUCACGCAUGCUACAAUGGCCGGUACAAUGGGUUGCGAUACUGUGAGGUGGAGCUAAUCCCAAAAAGCCGGUCUCAGUUCGGAUUGGGGUCUGCAACUCGACCCCAUGAAGUCGGAGUCGCUAGUAAUCGCAGAU